rnacentral:lncRNA from 1 species
GUUUCCUCCUCACUGUCCCGACCCUUCUGUGCUUUCUGACGUCUCCCAUCUCCUUUCUCUGUGGGCGCUUCUCCUUGCCCCUUCUCUCUCUACAUGUCUCUCUCCCAGGGUGUGCUCCAAGUUGAGUCUCUCACCCACGCCCCCCCCGCCCCCGGGAGCCUAGGCCUUGGCAGUGUGGGAGUCCUGGAAGCAGUCCUGAGGUGACAGCUUUUCCUUUAGGACCUUAUCUUCUUCUCCCUGUCCUUGCCCCCUUCUCACCCCCAGCAGGCUCCACAUCCCCUCGUGGCCCUCUCUGGAGACAGAAGUAAGAAUACUCCCCACACGCGAGACGCAGAAACCCUGGCACAGAGGAAAAGAGGUGACCAGUAAGGAAUGGAGAGGCCAAAUACAGACGAAGACUAAGAAAAUGAGAAAGAAGAGGACAGGGUGGAACCACAUGGCAGAGAAGAAGAAAAGGAAGGAAGACCAGGAGCAGAGACCUGCCGGGCAUUGCGAGCCAGACAGUCUGGGUGGGCAUGGGACACUCACCAUGAUUCCCAACAAACCUUGCCAAAAACUUCUAGGGUUGGACCCUAAGGCCUGCCCUCUGUCUGCCAGCUCUCACACAGACCCCUGAGGAGCACCCCCCUCUAUCUGAAGUCAGAGCCCAGUGCCUGCCCUCAGCUCCUGGGGUUCCAUGCUUGCCAGAAUGGUGAUCACUCAGCCUUCAGUUGCUGUGGGACUGUCAGGCAUUUCAGGGACCCGUUGUUUCAAACCUGCUAAGAGAUGUGAGCCAUUUUUACCUCAUCCACAUCUGUAUAUCCCAUCCCACAGCCAACAGACACUCUGUCUAUAGCUGUCUCUACCUACCCCACCCAGUGACAAAACUCAGCCAAAGGGAUCAAGCAAUCUCCCCACACCCCACAAUGGGAGACAGCCCUUGGCAUCUGGACUAUAAAUCCAGUGAAGAACACCAAUGCCCAAAGCCCCUGCCCACAACCUGGUUCACACAGCUGCCACCUAUGGAGUAUCCCGUGGGUUUCACCCAAAGUCACUAACACCAAGAAAGCUGCCCUCCCCGACUAAAGCUGUGUUCUAGCACCCCCCAAACCCCAUCUGUAACAGUAAAUGCCCAACUCCUAAAGCCAAAGCACCCCAAUUUCAAUACAGAAGGAAACUGGGCCUGAGGAUCUUGAUACAUCCCUGACCACCUAUCAUUUCUGGAUCUUUUCUGCACCCACCACCACCUCUACACCUUCACCUGGAGUGAACAUCUCUACCUUGUGGCUCAACACCCUCUUCAUGCAGUUCUCUUCAAGUCACCUCACCAGGAACAGUGAUGAAAGUCUUUCACUCACAGCUAAAUGCCUGCUUCCAAGGCCUUUAGGACUCUGUGGUUAGUGUGGGUUCCCUGGGGCACACCCCUGGUGAGUACAUCUGAAUCAUCUCUGCAACCCUGGGACCAGUUUCACAUAACUUUUUGUGUAAGGAUGAAGGGACAAAAGAGAGGGAGAGACAAGGUGAUAACACAGCCCUGCUCCUGCCCUGGCACUCUGAGGACAUCAGGCCCAGAUGACUGUAGCUGGCCAUGGGGACUCUGAGGCCAGGCUAGGAUCCAUCCACCAUGCCCAAUAGUGAAUAAGAGCCAGUCAGCUAGACACACCUUCCCACUUACCAGAGCUGUAACUUAUUCCUUGGCUUUUCCUAACCCUCAGGAGCCUUUCCUUAUCACUUUCUCCAAAAUUUUUCUGGAAGCCCCCUAAGCAGGCCAGUCUCUUCCCUUCUUCCCUAACCCAGCACCUUGUAGCCCCUUGGUUGAGGUAAUAGUGUUUAUGCCUGACUCUUCAUCAGCUGGGGGCCCCUCUGAGGCCUCAGAAGAUCUGCCUUUUUUCUUCUCCUUCAGACAAUAGUUCAAGGCCUAGUGCAUAAGAAAUUCCAGAAAAUGUUGGCUGUAAGAAU